rnacentral:rRNA from 1 species
GAACGCGAAGAACCUUACCAGGUCUUGACAUCCUGCGCUACACCUAGAGAUAGGUGGUUCCCUUCGGGGACGCAGAGACAGGUGGUGCAUGGCUGUCGUCAGCUCGUGUCGUGAGAUGUUGGGUUAAGUCCCGCAACGAGCGCAACCCUUGUCUUUAGUUGCCAUCAUUAAGUUGGGCACUCUAAAGAGACUGCCGGUGACAAACCGGAGGAAGGUGGGGAUGACGUCAAGUCAUCAUGCCCCUUAUGACCUGGCUACACACGUGCUACAAUGGGCAGUACAACGAGAAGCGAACCCGCGAGGGUAAGCGGAUCUCUUAAAGCUGUUCUCAGUUCGGACUGCAGGCUGCAACUCGCCUGCACGAAGCUGGAAUCGCUAGUAAUCGCGGAUCAGCACGCCGCGGUGAAUACGUUCCCGGGUCUUGUACACACC